UUGAUACUUACCUUACCAGAGUAUCCGCCCGAGAACUACGAGCACAAACGCUUAAAACUCUAAGGACUUGGCGGUGCCCCAAACCCACCUAGAGGAGCCUGUUCUAUAAUCGAUAACCCACGCUACACCCCACCACUCCUUGCCCCAACAGCCUACAUACCGCCGUCUCCAGCCCACCUCUUCUGAGAGCUUAAUAGUGAGCCCAAUAGCCCCUCCCGCUAAAAAGACAGGUCAAGGUAUAGCUCACGGAGUGGCAGAAAUGGGCUACAUUUUCUAGAAUAGAGAACCAAUCACGGAAGGGGGUGUGAAAUAACCCCUGGAAGGCGGAUUUAGCAGUAAACUGGGACAAUAAAGCCCUAUUUAAGCUGGCCCUGAGGCACGUACAUACCGCCCGUCACCCUCCUCGCAGGCUAUAACCCCACAUAGCUAAUAACCCACUAUGCCAAAGAUGAGGUAAGUCGUAACAAGGUAAGUGUACCGGAAGGUGCACUUA
rnacentral:rRNA from 1 species